UCUCCUGAAUACAGGACAACAAUGGGUCUUU
rnacentral:piRNA from 1 species